rnacentral:rRNA from 1 species
CACGUAGGCGGACUUUUAAGUCAGGGGUGAAAUCCCAGAGCUCAACUCUGGAACUGCCUUUGAUACUGGAAGUCUUGAGUAUGGUAGAGGUGAGUGGAAUUCCGAGUGUAGAGGUGAAAUUCGUAGAUAUUCGGAGGAACACCAGUGGCGAAGGCGGCUCACUGGACCAUUACUGACGCUGAGGUGCGAAAGCGUGGGGAGCAAACA